rnacentral:rRNA from 1 species
UACGAAGGGGGCUAGCGUUGCUCGGAAUCACUGGGCGUAAAGCGCACGUAGGCGGAUUGCUAAGUCAGGGGUGAAAUCCUGGAGCUCAACUCCAGAACUGCCUUUGAUACUGUCGACCUUGAGUCCGGGAGAGGUGAGUGGAACUGCGAGUGUAGAGGUGAAAUUCGUAGAUAUUCGCAAGAACACCAGUGGCGAAGGCGGCUCACUGGCCCGGUACUGACGCUGAGGUGCGAAAGCGUGGGGAGCAAACAGG